rnacentral:rRNA from 1 species
UAUAGUGCUUGCACUAUAGAGACCGGCGCACGGGUGCGUAACGCGUAUGCAAUCUACCUUAUACAGGGGAAUAGCCCAGGGAAACUUGGAUUAAUGCCCCAUAGUAUCAUUAAGUAGCAUUACUUUGAUGAUUAAAGAUUUAUCCGGUAUAAGAUGAGCAUGCGUCCCAUUAGUUAGUUGGUAAGGUAACGGCUUGCCAAGACAGCGAUGGGUAGGGGCCCCUGAGAGGGGGAUCCCCCACACUGGUACUGAGACACGGACCAGACUCC